rnacentral:rRNA from 1 species
GACGAACGCGGGCGGCGUGCUUAACACAUGCAAGUCGAACGGGGUCCAGUCUGUAGCAAUACAGAGGAAGACCUAGUGGCGAACGGGUGAGGAACACGUGAGGAAUCUGUACCGAACUCUGGGAUAACAGUUGGAAACGACUGCUAAUACCGGAUGACGUCAUUGGAUCGCGUGAUUCGAUGACGAAAGAAUUUCGGUUCGGGAGGAUCUCGCGGCCUAUCAGCUUGUUGGUUGGGUAAUGGCCUAACAAGGCAUCGACGGUUAGCUGGUCUGAGAGGAUGAUCAGCCACACUGGGACUGAGACACGGCCCAGACUCCUACGGGAGGCAGCAGUGGGGAAUCUUGCGCAAUGGGCGAAAGCCUGACGCAGCAACGCCGCGUGCGGGAAGAAGGCCUUCGGGUCGUAAACCGCUUUCAGCAGGAACGAAAAUGACGGUACCUGCAGAAGAAGGUGCGGCCAACUACGUGCCAGCCGCCGCCGUAA